GGGGCCAUAGCUCAGUGGUAGAACAUCUGCUUAGCAUGCAGAAGGUCCCAGGUUCAAUCCCUGGCAUCUCCA